rnacentral:rRNA from 1 species
UGGGGAAUUUUGGACAAUGGGCGAAAGCCUGAUCCAGCAAUGCCGCGUGUGUGAAGAAGGCCUUCGGGUUGUAAAGCACUUUUGUCCGGAAAGAAAUCCUUGGCUCUAAUACAGUCGGGGGAUGACGGUACCGGAAGAAUAAGCACCGGCUAACUACGUGCCAGCAGCCGCGGUAAUACGUAGGGUGCAAGCGUUAAUCGGAAUUACUGGGCGUAAAGCGUGCGCAGGCGGUUUGCUAAGACCGAUGUGAAAUCCCCGGGCUCAACCUGGGAACUGCAUUGGUGACUGGCAGGCUAGAGUAUGGCAGAGGGGGGUAGAAUUCCACGUGUAGCAGUGAAAUGCGUAGAGAUGUGGAGGAAUACCGAUGGCGAAGGCAGCCCCCUGGGCCAAUACUGACGCUCAUGCACGAAAGCGUGGGGGAGCAAAACAGGAUUAGAUACCCCUGGUAGUCCACGCCCUAAACGAUGUCAACUAGUUGUUGGGGAUUCAUUUCCUUAGUAACGUAGCUAACGCGUGAAGUUGACCGCCUGGGGAGUACGGUCGCAA